rnacentral:rRNA from 1 species
AACGAACGCUGGCGGCAUGCCUAACACAUGCAAGUCGAACGAUGCUUUCGGGCAUAGUGGCGCACGGGUGCGUAACGCGUGGGAAUCUGCCCUGGGGUUCGGGAUAACAGCGGGAAACUGCUGCUAAUACCGGAUGAUAUCGCGAGAUCAAAGAUUUAUCGCCCUGGGAUGAGCCCGCGUCGGAUUAGGUAGUUGGUGGGGUAAGAGCCUACCAAGCCGACGAUCCGUAGCUGGUCUGAGAGGAUGAUCAGCCACACUGGGACUGAGACACGGCCCAGACUCCUACGGGAGGCAGCAGUGGGGAAUAUUGGACAAUGGGCGCAAGCCUGAUCCAGCAAUGCCGCGUGAGUGAUGAAGGCCUUAGGGUUGUAAAGCUCUUUUACCCGGGAUGAUAAUGGCAGUACCGGGAGAAUAAGCCCCGGCUAACUCCGUG